rnacentral:miRNA from 2 species
UAGCCAAGGAUGACUUGCCCA